GACGAACGCUGGCGGCGUGCUUAACACAUGCAAGUCGAACGGAAAGGCCUUCUUUCCCUUGUGUAUUGCGGGUACUCGAGUGGCGAACGGGGGAGUACCACGGGAUUUAUCUGUCCCCAACUGGGGUAUAAGCCUGGGAAACUCUGUCUAAUUCCCGGUAGUACUGCAGGGUGGUGCCGGUGGUGGGAAACGGUGUUCUUGUGGUUGGGGAUGAGCUCGCGGCCUGUCAGCUUGGUGGUGGGGUAAUGGCCCACCAAGCCGGCGACGGGUAGCCGGCCGGAGAGGGUGGACGGUCAAACUGGGACUGGGAUCCGGCCCAGACUGCUAGGGGAGGCAGCAGUGGGGAAUAAUGCAGCAUGGGCGGAAUCCUGACGCAGCGACGCGGCGUGGGGGAUGACGGGCUUCGGGUGGUAAUCUGCUUUGGAAGGAGAGGAGCACGCCUGGUUGGAAGGGUGGUGACGGUAGUGGUAGAAGAAGCACCGGCUAACUACGUG
rnacentral:rRNA from 1 species